rnacentral:lncRNA from 1 species
GCGGAGCCGCGGCGCCCCGGAGCGCCUGCUGGCGGACGGCCGCCGCCCACUCGGUCCUCCCCUCUCAGGAAGGGGGCGCCGCUCGGCCGCGCGGGCCGGGCCAGCGUCCCCGCCACCCGCACGCCGCCCGCCGCACGCCGCCCGCCGCCCGCGUGACUGAGCCGAGCGCCGCGGGGGCGGGGUGCAGCGGCGCCGCGGGAGGAGCUGGGCGAGGAGCGGCCCCUUCCCUGCGCGGCGCGCGGCCGGGUUACAGCCACACUCAGGAGCCUCUUGGGAAAAGCUCAAAAGUCCCCAUUUUGCGGAAAGCCUGCUAAGAUGUGGUGGGACCCCGCGGGCCUUCACCAGUUUCUGUACUCAGGAGGCAGGGCAUGCAACAAAUGUCGAAAGAAUUACUGAAUGAAUCUGCUGCCUCUUUGGGCAUAUGGUGUGGGAAUUACAUUGAAAUGAUAAAAUCAACAGUGAUCCUUGAAAGGAGCAAGAGCCACAGUACUCCUAAAGUCAGUACUACUCCUUUAUUCUUCAUUGUUGGUGGUUCUAUAG